rnacentral:misc_RNA from 1 species
UCUCCGUUGGUGAACCUGCGGAGGGAUCAUUACAGGACUCGCAAGACUCCUACAACCCUGUGAACUUAACUAUAAGCACGUUGCUUCGGCGGGUGUCUCGGAGGGGGUUCUCCCUCCCCGAGACGCUAAACCCGCCGGCAGCCUACUAUACUCUGUCUCUUUGCGUUGGCAUCUCGAGUACAAUCAAACAAGUUAAAACUUUCAACAACGGAUCUCUUGGUUCUG